GAUAACUUUGCGGAUCGCACGGUCUAGCACCGGCGACGGAUCAUUCAAGUGUCUGCCCUAUCAACUUUCGUCGGUACGGUAUUUGCCUACCGAGAUUCUUACGGGUGACGGGGAAUCAGGUUCGAUUCCGGAGAGGGAGCCUGAGAAACGGCUACCACAUCCAAGGAAGGCAGCAGGCGCGCAAAUUACCCAUUCCCGACGCGGGGAGGUAGUGACGAAAAAUAACAAUGCAGGACUCGUUCGAGGCCCUGUAAUUGGAAUGAGUACACUUUAAAAGCUUUAACGAGUAUCCAUUGGAGGGCAAGUCUGGUGCCAGCAGCCGCGGUAAUUCCAGCUCCAAAAGUAUAUAUUUAAGUUGUUGCGGUUAAAAAGCUCGUAGUUGGAUUUUGGGCGCAGGCGGCCGGUCCGUCGCAAGGCGUGUACUGGACGUCCUGGCCUUCCCUCCGGUUCUCCGCCGGUGCUCUUGACUGAGUGUCGGCGGCGGCCGGAACGUUUACUUUGAAAAAAUUAGAGUGUUCAAAGCAGGCUCUCGAGCCUGGAUAAUGGUGCAUGGAAUAAUGGAAUAGGACCUCGGUUCUAUUUUGUUGGUUUUCGGAGCGCGAGGUAAUGAUUAAGAGGGACAGACGGGGGCAUUCGUACUGUGCCGUUAGAGGUGAAAUUCUUGGAUCGGCGCAAGACGAACGACUGCGAAAGCAUUUGCCAAGAAUGUUUUCUUUAAUCAAGAGCGAAAGUCAGAGGUUCGAAGACGAUCAGAUACCGUCCUAGUUCUGACUAUAAACGAUGCCAACUAGCGAUCGGGGGGGG
rnacentral:ncRNA from 1 species